UUUUCCCUAAAACAUUCAUUUUGGUUGAUUUUGUCAAAAAAAUCUUUGAAAAUAUUUCACAAACCCUUCUUCCUCUCAGUCCAUUCGCAGGCUUCAUCGGCGCCGAAUGCGCCUCCACCAUCAACGCGAUUUUAAUUAGAUCCUAAAGGAUCUAAUAACCCUUGGACCGGAGAAGUGAACAAUGAAUAAAUUGACCCCAAAUCCAGUAAGAAAACCCUUUCGCCUCUUUUUAUAUUUGCAUGACAGAUUCACAAUAGAGAAAGAAAUAAAAAAAACGAAAAAGUAAAGGCCAAAAUUGAUGAAUGAAUCACCUUAGAGUAUAUUUGCUUACUAUAUUCUAAUGCUAUCUAUGCAUAAUACGUGAAAAAAGAAGAAAGAAAAAAUGAGAUUUCAAAUCACCUCUUGAAAACUAUUUUUUUAUUCAAACUUUUGGUACCAAUUUGUAUGCGUUCCUCCCCUUACAAUGAAAUUUUUUUUUGGCUUUAUAACCGAAUGAUUACAAUUUUUUCAUUUUUGUUCUUUUUGCUGCUAUUUCGUGCUGUUGCGUGUCGUUUCCUUGCAAGUAUAAGUCUCUCAAUUAUAUAUAGAUUUCAAGAUUUGCUAACAUAAUGAAGAUCUAUAUCAAUCCCUAUUAUCAUUCACAAUGUGUUUCCCUUUUAUCCAUUUGUGGGAAAACUUCAAUUCUGGCAUAGGCUUCUCAAAUUGAAAAGUUGCUUGAACAAUCCAAGUAUUUUGAGUGUGCAGCACUUGGAAGAUAAGAGAGGGGAAUGACAACAAAUACCAAGAGUGUACCUUUUCAGUAUUCUUUACAAUCUUAUCAAAAGUUAUCUGACUUAAGGCUGAAUUUGAUCGUCUCCACUACCUUUCUCAGUAUAAUGGCCACUCUUGUUGUAGCCACAAAUAUAUCCAAUAAGACUGUGCAGAGCUAGCUGCAUCGUGUUGCAUGCAGACUAAUUAGAUAAGUACCCAUGGGUGAAAGUUAUUUGUUAUAUGAAGUACAUUGUGCGGGUUAUUAGUUAGUGUAUGGUAUUCUAGUGCAGUUUGUUCAAUUCUUGUUUAUCGUAAGUUGAGUGAAGUGAUCUUUAAACAAUCUUACCAUGUGCAAAUGAAGUCAAUCAUUCAGACUAAGUAAAUAUGAUAGAUGUAUACUUUAAGGCUACUAGGAAAGAAGAAAAGUUUCUCGAAGGGCAAAUGUCUUCUUUGGUUGGUGAGUAACAAAUUAUAUCCCAGGACGAAAUUUCCUUUAAGGGUGGGUGAAUUGUCACACCCGAAAAUUUUAAAAGUUUGCCACAAUAAUUAUGGGUAUUAAAUUAAAAAUAAAAAUUAUGUUUAAGCGAGCUCUAGUAUGAUUAUUAGAAUCAUGUGGCCUAAUUGAUAAAUAGUUAGAAUUCAAGUUUAGUCUCAUUACAUUAGAAUAUGGAGUUUUCUUUUAGUAGGAAACAUUAUGAUUAAGGGUAUUAAUAGUACUGAUCGACUUGGGAUUAAGGGAGGUGGUAGUGGAAAGAUUAUAUAUGGAGGAUUCAUUCAUUUUGGUAUUCAUUUUUUUUCUUUCAUCUUCUUCUUUAGUUUAUUCUGUAAGAGAGAAAAGUUAAGAAACGAUCUGUAUGGAGGGAGAAAAUAAUGUAUAAACUUAACUGAUUGAGGAUUUAGUAAACUACUAAUCUUUUUAAGUUUUUCAAUGUCUUUUAAUUGAAGAAAAGAAAAGGGAAAAUUGAAGAUUUUAGUUUAAUUCAUCGAGCCUGUACUCAUAUGUUUAGGGUUGCAGCUAACCUUAAAAUCUCUCUGCAUGAAAAUGGAUCAUGGUUUUCUUACAUAUGAAUAUUUUUGAUUUGAUCUUUGAUAUAGUUAUUAUGUUUAGCUAACCGAGAAGAAGAGGCUCAAGUGAUAAGGAAAAGCUAAGCAGGUGUAAUCAGUACUAGCUUUCAGGUAUUUUGUUGGUAAGUUUCAAAACUCAAACCUUAUGUGGUUGUUUUAUAUAUUUCAGUACUAUGUUAUUGUGUUGUGUUUGACUUAAUAUUCUGUUGAUGAUGGGGUUGUUUUGUUGUACGAUUGAAGUAUGCAAAAUGAUGAUUUACAAAUGUAUGUUUGAUUGCGCGUUUCAGUCCGUUGUUUUGAUAAACUUUCACUGGUAAAAUAAUUAUUGAAGAAUUUAUCAUUGAAAUGGUCCAAUAGGUGAUAUGUUUGGUAUUAUUUGUGUUGUGUUAAUAACAAUAUGUUUAGUUGAAUGCUCGUUAUACGUCAGUCAUAAAUAUGAAUAAAUGACAUGUUGUCACUCUAUUCCACAUGAUAUUGGUUUUGCAGAGGUUCGACCGGAUUGUACGAAGAAUGUAUACGCAUGAUAUUGGUUUUGCAAAGGUUCAGGUGGAUUGUAUGGAGAAUAUAUAUAAACAUGACAUUUGGUUUUAUGGAGGUUCGAUUGGAUUGUACGGAGAUACUUGUGCAUAUUUAUAUGAUAACCCUACAUGGGUUCUUUCAAGUAUAAGACUCUGCGGAGUCUAAGGCUUAAAGCCUCAUAUGCGUAAGCAAACCCUUGGCCGUGGCAUAUGUAAGUUAUGUAAGUCCAUCGGACUUGUUCUUUAAGUUUUAUGUUAAAGUUAUGAGAUUUCACCAUGUCAAGUCCGUAACAAAAAUCACAUGUAUGAAUCCGCCAAAUUUAUGAAGUUUCUUUUAUGUUUGCCUAUGGAUCUACACACAUGAGUGCAACAUAUGUGAGUUCACAUCCAUGAAUAUUCUAUAUGAACCUAUAUGUAUGAUAGUUGAUUGGAAUUAUUUUUAUGAUUCAAGUAUGAUAGUCUACUGAUUUUAUACUCAUGUUUCAAGUUUAAGAUAUCGAAGAGACUAUCCUUCAUAAGAGUCAGCAUAGACUAUUAUCCAAGUAAGAGACUGCAUGGACCUAUUUUUAUGUUCGAGCUAUGAGAGUUUGUAUGAACUAGUUAUAUCAAGUCAACACUGCAGGGAUAUUCUUCACGUAGGAGUCCGCCAAUGACUAUCUUUAAAUCAAAAGUCUAUAAUGACUAUCCGGCAAACAAGAGUCUAGAAGGAGUUAUUAGUUAAGAUGGAGUUCACAAGUAAAAACCCAUAUGUAUGAAUUUGCGAUUAUGAUUCCGCUUAUAAAUGUUCGUAAAUAAGAUCUACAUGUAUAUGUUCAUCAAGCUCG
rnacentral:lncRNA from 1 species